CCUUUGCACAGAUAACCUGCAUCAAAACUCAUUAAAAAUAAAAUUAUUUUAUGCAAUAUUGCACAAAAAAUCGUGGAACAAUGAUUCAAACUCAUGACCUACAAUAAUAUUGGGGUAAAAAAUGUGUCAUAGUCUGCAUGAUAUAAGGGGAUAUGCAUUCAUGGUAAAUAUCCUGCAUUCAUCAUCACCAUCAUCAUCAUCACCAUACAUUGGUUGCCCGUGUUGUGUGUCGUGCAAGCAUUCUACGAAAACAAUAAACAUUAAAUCAGCUUCAUGUAUGGAUGUC
rnacentral:lncRNA from 1 species